rnacentral:rRNA from 1 species
AGAACGAACGCUGGCGGCAGGCCUAACACAUGCAAGUCGAACGCCCUAGCAAUAGGGAGUGGCGCACGGGUGAGUAACGCGUGGGAAUGUACCAUUUAGUGGGGGAUAACUUCGGGAAACUGAAGCUAAUACCGCAUACGCCCGAGAGGGGAAAGAUUUAUCGCUAAAUGAUCAGCCCGCGUGAGAUUAGAUAGUUGGUGGGGUAAUGGCCUACCAAGUCUACGAUCUCUAGCUGGUCUGAGAGGAUGAUCAGCCACACUGGAACUGAGACACGGUCCAGACUCCUACGGGAGGCAGCAGUGGGAAUAUUGGGCAAUGGACGCAAGUCUGACCCAGCCAUGCCGCGUGAGUGAUGAAGGCUCUAGGGUUGUAAAGCUCUUUCGCCGAUGAAGAUAAUGACGGUAGUCGGAGAAGAACGCCCCGGCUAACUCGCGCCAGCAGCCG